CGAGCGCACCCUUUCCUUAGUUGCCAGCACUUCGGCUGGGCACUCUUGGGAAACUGCCCGUGAUAAGCGGGAGGAAGGUGUGGAUGACGUCAAGUCCUCAUGGCCCUUACGGGUUGGGGUACACACCUGCUACAAUGGCAGUAACAAUGGGGUAAUCCCAAAACACUGUCUCACUUCUCAUUGUCAUCGGCUCCUCGUCCGCAUGGAGUCCGAAUCCCUAGCCAUCUCGUAACAGCAUGAUGCGGUGAAUACAUUCCCAGGCCUU
rnacentral:rRNA from 1 species